CUGCAUCCAAUACAUUUCUGACAUCUCGAGAAACCUCUCGUGCUUCCUUGUUCUCCUUUGGUGUUCUCGGAUCUAAUGGUAGGAGCUAGCAUUAGCUUGAGAUUAGGUGCCCUUGUAAAGAUAAUCUGUGGUUUUCCCUCAAUUAAUUGUUGGAUCACUUCUCAAUAUUCCCCAAUGUUUCCUAAGUAUUUUCUGUAUCGUCUGCGACUGAUUGC